rnacentral:tRNA from 2 species
UAUAAUAUAGUAUAUGAUGUACAUCAAUUUUUGAUAUUGAUAGAUUAAGUUUAAUUCUUAAUAUUAUAA